CAGAAGUACAGACAGCCAAGCGCAGACGGAAGCGGUGAGGUCCAGAUGUGCAUUUGGCAACCGUUUGGCGUUCUCCAGAAAUUGAAAGAGAAGAAAAUGCUGGCAAAGAAGAGUAAGCUUGAACAAAAGAGUGAGGACGCAGCCACGGAUUCUGACCAGUCCCCAAAGCAGCAGACCAGCAAAGAGGAAGACGAAGACGCUUCCGAGGAGGAGGAAAAAGACGAUGCAGAAGACCCCAGCUUUAUGAUGAGGAGAUGAUGGUUUUGACACUGUGCGUAGUAUUCAUCUGCUGUCGGGGAGCCUGGAUUCUUUACCGAGCAAGAGU